GGUCACUAUGAUUCACUUUCAUAUUAUCAUUCUUUUCAGAUUUUUUUCCCUGUGUUUUUUUUGUUAGAUGAGGAGCAACCAGUAAGAAAAAGCAAAAAGAUGUUUUGAUGUUGCCUGAGGCACCUUAUUUUCCAUUUCAUGCACAAUCACAAAUGCAGCACAUCAAUCAAUUUCUUCCAACCAGCGAAUCAAGAAAUCUUGGAGUGGAGAAUCAUUCUGAAAGUAGACCAAAUCCAGGACAACAUCACAACAGUGGUCGGAAAAAUGCAGCAAGCCAAGCUGACUUUCAAAAGAUGAUUCGUUAUCUGUUUCUUCAGAGGGGAGGCAGUUUGGGAGAUGGGAAUUAGGAGGAUGCUACAGUUACACAGGGCAAAUUUCAGCAGCUCAGUUUCAAACUUGCAACUAACAUUGAGUUAAAGUUAGAAGACCACGGAAAUAUUUGACAUCGGAGUCCAGCAGACAGCCAGAGACACGCACACACACGCAGCUGAAGCGCGUGACGCGUACGGGAGAUCCGGCACGCGCACGGGAGCUCGCGCACGCUCACACAAACACGGAGCACAGGAUAAUUACAACUGUUUAAUUAAAAUAAAAGAACUUUGUGGUAUACAA